AUGGAUAAACAAAUGAUAAAGCUUGACUUAUUGAAUAUCAGAUCCAUUUCUACGAAAACACUUUUUGUAAAUAAUAUGAUAACUGAUCAUAAUAUAGAUGUGCUCUGCUUGACAGAAACCUGGCUAAAACCUGAUGAUUACAUUAUUUUAAAUGAGUCCACCCCCCAAGAUUAUUGUUAUAAACACGAGCCGCGUCUAAAAGGCAAAGGGGGAGGUGUUGCUUCAAUUUAUAAUAAAGUUUUCAGGAUUUCUCAGAGGGCAGGCUUCAAGUAUAACUCGUUUGAAGUAAUGGUGCUUCAUAUAACAUUAUCCAGAGAAACCAAUGUUAAUGAUAAAUCCCCUGUUAUGUUUGUACUGGCUACUGUACACAGGCCACCAGGGCACCAUACAGACUUUAUUAAAGAGUUUGGUGAUUUUACAUCCGAGUUAGUUCUGGCUGCAGAUAAAGUCUUAAUAGUUGGUGAUUUUAAUAUCCAUGUCGAUAAUGAAAAAGAUGUAUUGGGAUCAGCAUUUAUAGACAUUCUGAACUCUAUUGGUGUUAGACAACAUGUUUCAGGACCUACUCAUUGUCGAAAUCAUACUCUAGAUUUAAUACUGUCACAUGGAAUUGAUGUUGAUAGUGUUGAAAUUAUUCAGCCAAGUGAUGAUAUCUCAGAUCAUUAUUUAGUUCUGUGUAAACUUCAUAUAGCCAAAAUUGUAAAUUCUACUUCUUGUUACAAGUAUCGAAGAACCAUCACUUCUACCACAAAAGACAGCUUUUUAAGUUAUCUUCCUGAUGUAUCCGAAUUCCUUAGCAUAUCCAAAACCUCAGAACAACUUGAUGAUGUAACAGAAAUUAUGGACUCUCUCUUUUCUAGCACUUUAAAUACAGUUGCUCCUUUACGCUUAAGAAAGGUUAAGGAAAACAGUUUGACACCAUGGUAUAAUGAGCAUACUCGCACCCUAAAGAGAGCAGCCCGAAAAAUGGAGCGCAGCUGGAGGAAAACAAAACUAGAGGUAUUUCGUAUUGCUUGGCGGGAAAGUAACAUAUCCUACAGAAAAGCAUUAAAAACUGCUAGAUCUAAUUACUUUUCUUCUCUUUUAGAAGAAAACAAACAUAACCCCAGGUAUUUAUUCAAUACAGUGGCUAAAUUAACGAAAAAUAAAGCCUCAACAAGUGUUGACAUUUCCCAACACCACAGCAGUAAUGACUUUAUGAACUACUUUACUUCUAAAAUCGAUACUAUUAGAGAUAAAAUUGCAACCAUUCAGCCGUCAGCUACAGUUUCGCAUCAGACAGUGCACUAUAGACCCCCUGAGGAACAGUUCCACUCAUUCUCUACUAUAGGAGAGGAAGAAUUGUAUAAACUUGUUAAAUCAUCUAAACUUACAACAUGUAUGUUAGACCCUAUACCAUCUAAGCUCUUAAAAGAGGUGCUUCCAGAAGUCAUAGGUCCUCUUCUGACUAUUAUUAAUUCCUCAUUGUUAUUAGGACAUGUCCCCAAAACCUUCAAACUGGCUGUUAUUAAGCCUCUCAUAAAAAAGCCACAACUUGACCCCAGAGAACUAGUUAAUUAUAGACCAAUCUCGAAUCUCCCUUUUCUGUCCAAGAUACUAGAAAAGGUGGUAUCCUCACAAUUAUAUUCCUUCUUAGAGAAAAAUGGUAUAUGUGAGGAUUUCCAGUCAGGAUUUAGACCGUAUCAUAGUACUGAGACUGCUCUCCUUAGAGUUACAAAUGAUCUUCUCUUAUCAUCUGAUCGUGGGUGUAUCUCUCUAUUAGUUUUAUUGGAUCUUAGUGCUGCGUUUGACACAAUUGACCACAACAUUCUUUUGCAUAGACUUGAACACUUUGUUGGCAUUAAUGGAAGUGCAUUAGCAUGGUUUAAAUCGUAUAUGACCGCCAUCAGUUCGUAG
ensembl:lncRNA